rnacentral:rRNA from 1 species
UACAGAGGGGGCAAGCGUUGUUCGGAAUUACUGGGCGUAAAGGGCGCGUAGGCGGCCUUCUAAGUCGAACGUGAAAUCCCCGGGCUCAACCCGGGAACUGCGUCCGAGACUGGAAGGCUUGAAUCCGGGAGAGGGAUGUGGAAUUCCAGGUGUAGCGGUGAAAUGCGUAGAUAUCGGGAAGAACACCCGUGGCGAAGGCGGUUCUCUGGGACGGUACCGACGCUGAGACGCGAAAGCGUGGGGAGCGAACAGG